AAAGAAGCAGUGGGAUUAAGUGAUGGGGUGACUGCGUACCUUUUGUAUAAUGGGUCAGCGACUUAUAUUUUGUAGCGAGGUUAACUGAAUAAGGGAGCCGAAGGGAAACCGAGUCUUAACUGGGCGAAUAGUUGCAAGGUAUAGACCCGAAACCCGGUGAUCUAGCCAUGGGCAGGUUGAAGGUUGGGUAACACUAACUGGAGGACCGAACCGACUAAUGUUGAAAAAUUAGCGGAUGACUUGUGGCUGGGGGUGA
rnacentral:rRNA from 1 species